AUUGAACGCUGGCGGCAUGCCUUACACAUGCAAGUCGAACGGCAGCACGGGUGCUUGCACCUGGUGGCGAGUGGCGAACGGGUGAGUAAUACAUCGGAACAUGUCCUGUAGUGGGGGAUAGCCCGGCGAAAGCCGGAUUAAUACCGCAUCCGAUCUACGGAUGAAAGCGGGGGACCUUCGGGCCUCGCGCUAUAGGGUUGGCCGAUGGCUGAUUAGCUAGUUGGUGGGGUAAAGGCCUACCAAGGCGACGAUCAGUAGCUGGUCUGAGAGGACGACCAGCCACACUGGGACUGAGACACGGCCCAGACUCCUACGGGAGGCAGCAGUGGGGAAUUUUGGACAAUGGGCGAAAGCCUGAUCCAGCAAUGCCGCGUGUGUGAAGAAGGCCUUCGGGUUGUAAAGCACUUUUGUCCGGAAAGAAAUCCUUGGCCCUAAUACGGUCGGGGGAUGACGGUACCGGAAGAAUAAGCACCGGCUAACUACGUG
rnacentral:rRNA from 1 species